CCCCACUUCUCUAUGAUGUGGUUUAUCCUCUAGGGGCAAAUGCGAUUUCGAGAGCCACAGUUUGCCAAAGACAUCCUGCAAUUUUCUGCUUCCAGUCACCAGCUGCAAGGGUAUUGAGUGUCAUUUCUUUCCCAUAUUAAACCAAGUUAAUAUUGUAUAAAAUUAUCUGGUUAUUUUGAUUACUUACCUACAAUUUUCAGAUCAGGAACUAUAUUUUCACUUAGAAAAGCACAUUCCCUCUAGCAGUAAAAUUCUUUUGAAUAAAUUCCCCACAAAAAGCCAUAUCUU
rnacentral:lncRNA from 1 species